rnacentral:piRNA from 1 species
CGGGUCCGCUGUGGACAUGGCUGC